ACAGAGAUGUCGUGGGAUAGAGCGGCACCAUCAUUGCCUUUCAGCUUUGAACGGCAGCCUUCCGGGGGCCUUUCGCGAAGCUUUCGGGAAAUGGCGGCGUUCCUAUGAGGAGGGCUUCGGAAGAGCUCGGCGGCAGCUCGGAACCGUUCGGGUUUUCCUUCGGGCGGUUCUGCAUGACGUCAGGAGCGUUCCGAGAAGGCGGCAGUGGACGAUCGAGCGAGAAGCCGGAGCCAAUCGGAAACCGCCGGGAGUGCCUUUCGGGGGCUCUGCUCGGGCGGCUCAGUUCAGCGGCUGCUGCCUCUGGCGGAGGGUGGCGAGAGCCUGACUCACUUUUGCGCAUUCUACACUAGCGUGGUGGGGGAAAGAGGGAGAGAGAGGGGAAAAAAUCUGAAUUGAGUUUUGAGGGACGCCUGUGCCGCUCCAUUUGUUUUAAGCAUUCACAUACUACUUUUUAGAUAUACAAAACUCCAAAGUGACGUAAAAAGGGUGAGUGGGAAGGGGAUUUUUUAAAAACACAAGCACACCAUAGCUUAAUAAUCCCAAAUUGGGACAAAAUAGAGACUUGCGGCACAUCAGGAGAUUAACAAAUGUAUUGUGGCAUCAUCUUUCUGUGGAUCAGAUGUGAAGUGACAAAAUGGGUUGGGGUGUGUAUAUUUUUGCACAUACCCUAGUAACCGUAACUAAGCUUAACUACAUGUACCUGAAAUAACACAAAGGACCCUCUUUUAUUCCCUACUUAUGCUCGCCCCCUUUUCUUCUGUUGUCUUACCUGUGAUGAAUUUUGUAUUGCAGACUCCUUGCUGGGAGGACCUCUCCUCUUUUAUCUUUUGAAAAGCAACGUGCAUGAAGAAGACAGGUUGUGUUUUGAUAAAAAGCACCAUAUUUCUUGAGCCUGAGGCACCCACCAUCUCAGCAAGAGAAAGUGCACACACUGAACUGAAUGCAUGAGUUGACGCUGAAUCCCAGAAGAUGGAAAGCCCUUUGGGUUCUCAUUCCACGGCUGAACACCUUCUCCGUGAGCACCUGCCUUGCCGCCCAGAUGCCCACUGGCGAAACACGGCUGCUCCCUGCCUUCCUGAGCCUUCCUCCUGGCUCCUUGCUGCUAUGCUCUUGAUGGCGAUGUUGUCAAAAGUCAUGAGCUGAAAACAACAACAACAUUGGUGCGUGCGCAUCUGUGCACAAUGCUCCUCUGCCUCUGCAGGGGGAGCUCUGAUGUUUCUCGGAGCUUCCUUUCCCACCUUCUAGAAGGGAGAUCGUGCUUUCUGACCUUUUAUUGGACUUUGGCUCCUGCACCAGAGGGUUUGGGGUACAAUUUUCAUUUGUGCUAUCUUGCCUGUUGAUUCUGGAUUGCUUCUAGCCCAGCCAGGUGGGCAGGGUAUAAAUAAUAAAAGUAUUAUUAUUAUUAU